GCCAUUAAUUAUAAAAAAUUGUCGGUAUUUAGUUAUUUAAUUUUUGAAUCCUGCAUCAGUAAAUACUUUUGGACCUAAAUUAUAACUCCCCCUCCCCCGUGAAAUAGAUAAAUUCGAAUAGACACUGUGUGUUGCUAAAAAUGUCUGUAUGCAUAACACUAAAUCGGAUUUACCGUUUACGAAUGAAAAUAUAGUUUAAAAUUUAGGAUGGAUAGUAAAUUGCGUAACCAUUUUUUCACGAAAAAUACAUAAUCGUUCGUUCCUCCUCCGGUCUAAACUU